rnacentral:rRNA from 1 species
AUGGACACGGUGACCACGGCCUGGGCGCAGCCAGUCGCGCCAAACUGUGUGUUUGCGCGCCUCCACAUCAAGCUAGCUCGCACGGCCAGGGAUCUUUGCAUUUGGAGCCAGAGCCUCUUCGGCGACGCAAAGUUGCAGUUCCACAUAGCUUGUGAGGUCAUCUUGCGCCUUAACGUAGCUCAAGAGAGGCGCCAGCUGUCGCCGGCAGAACGUGAGCUGCGGAAGGGACUGAAGCUCAGGCUUCUGGGUCUGGCAGCGAUCGAGCGGUGCAGAAAGAGACAAGCUUCUAGGCUUACAUGGCUGCGCUCCGGCGAUGCUCCAACAAAAUUCUUCAUGGCCAAGAUUUGCUCACGCAGAAGGAAAAUUUUUAUCCAUGCGCUCUCGACCAACGAGUUUGUUGCCACGGCUCACAGCGACAAAGAAGCGGCCAUCCACAACCAUUUUGAUGCAAUCCUAGGGACAGCAGGCCACCGUACAUCCACGAUCAACUGGAGUCAGAUCAACAUGCCACAGAUUCAGGGAGGGGGG